rnacentral:rRNA from 1 species
ACGGGGGGCCUACGGGAGGCAGCAGUGGGGAAUAUUGCACAAUGGGCGCAAGCCUGAUGCAGCCAUGCCGCGUGUGUGAAGAAGGCCUUCGGGUUGUAAAGCACUUUCAGCGAGGAGGAAGGUGGUGAGCUUAAUACGCUCGUCAAUUGACGUUACUCGCAGAAGGAGCUCCGGCUAAUCACCAGU